AUAUAUAUUCCCUCAAUCCCUACCGAAACCAAUUCUCCAGUCUGCCAAAUCACAUACGCCGCCCAUUAUCAUCCCCAACAAUCUUUCACAAGCAAUUCGAUUGACAAGCAGGUUAAGCUGUGAUGCAGAUGGAUGUCAGCAGAGCAAAGCUUUUGAUAUAUAAGUACUAAAUUAGGCUCAGGAUUCCAUGUCUUCAUACAUGUAAUCCACUUAAGCUAUUCCGCUGCAACGCUUAGUGCGUUUUACUUUAUUGAUGUGUUGCAAAGAUUUCAAACUAAUAGCUUACAGAAUUAUGUCACCUGAUACUUAGACAACUUGUCGUUAUGUAUUGCGAGUUGUCUGCUUUUGAGUUUUAGAAAAGAUUGUUUAUGAUUACCAAAUAUUUUGGUAAAUUAUUGUUUAAGCAGGUUAGUGAUUUUUAUUGAGAUCUA